CCUACGGGAGGCAGCAGUGGGGAAUAUUGGACAAUGGGCGAAAGCCUGAUCCAGCAAUGCCGCGUGAGUGAUGAAGGCCUUAGGGUUGUAAAGCUCUUUUACCAGGGAUGAUAAUGACAGUACCUGGAGAAUAAGCUCCGGCUAACUCCGUGCCAGCAGCCGCGGUAAUACGGAGGAAGCUAGCGUUGUUCGGAAUUACUGGGCGUAAAGCGUACGUAGGCGGUUAUUCAAGUCAGAGGUGAAAGCCUGGAGCUCAACUCCAGAACUGCCUUUGAAACUAGGUAGCUAGAAUCACGGAGAGGUUAGUGGAAUUCCGAGUGUAGAGGUGAAAUUCGUAGAUAUUCGGAAGAACACCAGUGGCGAAGGCGACUAACUGGACGUGUAUUGACGCUGAGGUACGAAAGCGUGGGGAGCAAACAGGAUUAGAUACCCUGGUAGUCCACGCCGUAAACGAUGAUAACUAGCUGUUCGGUCUCUACGAGACUGAGUGGCGCAGCUAACGCAUUAAGUUAUCCGCCUGGGGAGUACGGUCGCAAAGAUUAAAACUCAAAGGAAUUGACGG
rnacentral:rRNA from 1 species